AACGUAGGAGGCAAGCGUUAUCCGGAAUCACUGGGCGUAAAGCGUCUGUAGGUGGUCAAAUAAGUCAACUGUUAAAUCUUGAGGCUCAACCUCAAAACCGCAGUCGAAACUAUUAGACUAGAGUAUAGUAGGGGUAAAGGGAAUUUCCAGUGGAGCGGUGAAAUGCGUAGAGAUUGGAAAGAACACCGAUGGCGAAGGCACUUUACUGGGCUAUGACUAACACUCAGAGACGAAAGCUAGGGUAGCAAAUGGG
rnacentral:rRNA from 1 species